CCUACGGGGAGCAGCAGUGAGGAAUAUUGGUCAAUGGACGAGAGUCUGAACCAGCCAAGUAGCGUGAAGGAUGACUGCCCUAUGGGUUGUAAACUUCUUUUAUAAAGGAAUAAAACGAGGCACGUGUGCCUUUUUGCAUGUACUUUAUGAAUAAGGAUCGGCGAACUCCGUGCCAGCAGCCGCGGUAAUACGGAGGAUCCGAGCGUUAUCCGGAUUUAUUGGGUUUAAAGGGAGCGUAGAUGGGUUGUUAAGUCAGUUGUAAAAGUUUGCGGCUCAACCGUAAAAUUGCAAUUGAUACUGGCAGUCUUGAGUACAGUUGAGGUAGGCGGAAUUCGUGGUGUAGAGGUGAAAUGCUUAGAUAUCACGAAGAACCCCGAUUGCGAAGGCAGCUUACUAAACUGUGACUGACAUUGAUGCUCGAAAGUGUGGGUAUCAAACAGGAUUAGAUACCCCAGUAGUC
rnacentral:rRNA from 1 species